GCCCUAGUAGUCUAGUGGUUAGGAUACAGCCCUGUCAAGGCUGUGGCGCGAGUCCGAUUCUCGCCUGGGGCG
rnacentral:tRNA from 1 species